UACGUAGGGUGCAAGCGUUGUCCGGAAUUUAUUGGGCGUAAAGAGCUCGUAGGCGGUUUGUCGCGUCUGCUGUGAAAUCCCGAGGCUCAACCUCGGGCCUGCAGUGGGUACGGGCAGACUAGAGUGCGGUAGGGGAGAUUGGAAUUCCUGGUGUAGCGGUGGAAUGCGCAGAUAUCAGGAGGAACACCGAUGGCGGAAGGCGGGAUCCUGGGCCAGUACUGACGCUGAGGCACGGAAAGCGUGGGGAGCAAACAGG
rnacentral:rRNA from 1 species